GGGCAGUCCGCCAGGUUGGCGAUCUGGAAGGCGCUGUCGGUGACGGCGGCCGAGGCGGCGGCUGGGGAGUGCAGGGCCGUCAUGACGAUCACCCCCGGCGGCAGCGAGAGGCCGCCCAGCGCCGGGAUGGCCGAGAAGCUGCUGUUACCUGCACAGUUUAGGCAUUUCUAGCAUCUUUUCCCGAUGGACGGCGAUCGAUCGGAAGCGGUCGCUUCAGGGCCGCUAAUGGGGCCGCGUCUCGUUCCCAGACGCCGACGCUACCAGCCUGCCUGCCUUUAAUUAGUUGCACAUCAGUCCCUAACACAAAGAAGAAGAAGAAGGAGAAGAAGAAGAAAAUCUCCAGAUGUGCCUUGGCAGCUCCUCAAUUACAACUUUGCUACUUGUAAACAAACUGCGAGGGGCGGCGGGGAGGGGUGCAAGGAUGGAGGGGGGGGGGGGGUUGGAAAUAAAUAAAUCCGCCGCUCCGCCGAA